GAAGGCAAAUGAUGUAAAAGCUCUUGCUUAUAUUCUGAAAUAUGAAUGUAGACUAACAAACCCAGCUUAUUAUCUGAUGCCUUU